rnacentral:ncRNA from 2 species
UGCACCGGAUCCCAUCAGAACUCCGCAGU